rnacentral:rRNA from 1 species
AGUGAACGCUGGCGGCGUGCUUAACACAUGCAAGUCGAACGAGAACGGAUUAUAGCUUGCUAUAAUUGCCAGCUAAGUGGCGCACGGGUGAGUAAUGUAUAGGUAAUAUGCCUCUUACUAAGGGAUAACAAAUGGAAACGUUUGCUAAUACCUUAUACUCCUUAUUAACAGAAGUUAAUAAGGGAAAGAUUUAUUGGUAAGAGAUUAGCCUGUAUUGUAUCAGUUAGUUGGUGGGGUAAUGGCCUACCAAGACUAUGACACAUAACUGGUGUGAUAGGAUGAGGAGUCACACUGGAACUGAGAGACGGUCCAGACUCCUACGCGAGGCAGCAGUGGGGAAUAUUGCACAAUGGACGAAAGUCUGAUGCAGCAACGCCGCGUGGAGGAUGACACAUUUCGGUGCGUAAACUCCUUUUAUAUGAGAAGAUAAUGACGGUAUUAUAUGAAUAAGCACCGGCUAACUCCGUGCCAGCAGCCGCCGUAA